rnacentral:lncRNA from 1 species
AUGUCACUAAACUUUGGAAUUCUAGAAGUUCUUUACACAAACCAGCUUGAAAGCAUCUGGAUAAGAAUCAAGGGAACCGGGACUCAAAAAGACCUUGUCGUGGGUGUCUACUACAGACCUCCGAGUCAGGAUGAAGGACUUGAUGAAGCCUUCUGUCAACAGCUGACCAAACAGGCACAAAGAAGAGAUAUAGUAGUCAUGGGCGAUUUCAAUUAUCCCGAUAUCUGCUGGAAAACAAACUCAGCCAAGAGUACAAAGUCCAACAAAUUCCUCACUUGCCUUGCAGAUAAUUUUAUGGUCCAGAAGGUAGAAGAGGCAACAAGGGGAUCAGCAACUCUUGAUCUAAUCUUAACAAAUGUGGAAGACCUGAUCAAUACAGUUGAAGUGGUUGGAUCCUUAGGGGCAAGUGACCAUGUGCUCCUGCAGUUUGCAAUACAAAGGAAUGCUGAAACUAAGACAAGUCAAACACGCAUUCUGGACUUUAAGAGAGCUGACUUCCAAAAAAUGAAGGAAUUACUGAGCGGCAUUCCAUGGACGCCGAUAUUAAAAAACAAGGGAGUUAAGGAUGGAUGGGAGUUUUUCAAAAGUGAAAUACUCAAGGCGCAAAUGCAAACAGUGCCAACAAAGAAGAAAAAUAAGACAAGUGCAAAGAAGCCAGAAUGGAUGUCCAAAGAACUUCUAACUGAGCUAAAGCUCAAAAGUGACAUGCACAAGAAGUGGAAAAGGGGAGAAAUCACCAAAGAAGAAUUCAAACGUAUAGCCAACACCUGUAGGGAAAAGGUUCGCAAGGCUAAAGCGCAAAAUGAGCUCAGGCUUGCCAGGGACAUAAAAAACAACAAAAAAGGCUUUUUUGCUUACGUUGGUAGAAAAAGGAAGAAAAAGGAGGCGAUAGGGCCAUUGCAAGGAGAAGAUGGGGUGAUGGCAACAGGGGACAGGGAAAAGGCAGAACUACUUAAUGCCUUCUUUGCCUCGGUCUUCUCAGAAAAAGAAAGCCAUCUUCAACCUCAGCAACACGGAAUGGACGAAGGAUUGGGGGAAAUCCAACCCCAAAUAGGGAAACAAGUUGUCCAGGAACACUUGGCCUCUCUAAACGAAUUCAAGUCCCCAGGGCCAGAUCAACUACACCAAGAGUAUUGA